UACCUAUAUUGUUGCCUCGGCGGUGCCUGUUCCGACAGCCCGCCAGAGGACCCCAAACCCUGAUUACAUUUAAGAAGUCUUCUGAGUAAACCGAUUAAAUAAAUCAAAACUUUCAACAACGGAUCUCUUGGUUCUGGCAUCGAUGAAGAACGCAGCGAAAUGCGAUAAGUAAUGUGAAUUGCAGAAUUCAGUGAAUCAUCGAAUCUUUGAACGCACAUUGCGCCCGCUAGUAUUCUGGCGGGCAUGCCUGUCCGAGCGUCAUUUCAACCCUCAAGCCCCCGGGCUUGGUGUUGGGGAUCGGCGAGCCUCCGCGCCCGCCGUCCCCUAAAUCUAGUGGCGGUCUCGCUGUAGCUUCCUCUGCGUAGUAGCACACCUCGCACUGGGAAACAGCGCGGCCACGCCGUUAAACCCCCAACUUCUGAACGUUUGACCUCGGAUCAGGUAGGAAUACCCGCUGAACUUAAGCAUAUCAAUAAGCGGAGGA
rnacentral:rRNA from 1 species